UCUGCGAAUCAAAGGAGAAGCGUCCUUCUCUCACCCUCUCACCCCGCUCCGCUGGCUAGCCAAGCACGGAACCCGCCAGGCUCUGGCCAACCGGCUCACAUGGCCCGGAGCCCAGAGGCUCGCUGAGGCGGCUUCUCUUUACUUUAAACAGGGGGCCUCAUAAGACCUGUUGAGGGGCCCUGCAACACUGUAUACAGAAUCGCCUAUUUAAAUGUUUAACCUUUAGGAUGGCAAAGUACCCGUGGAGACACUGAUGAAAACUAUGGACUUUCUCCAGAAAAAUACACCCAAAAUACAAUUUUGAGACCAGCAUCCAGGCUCUGAAGACCUGUGACAGCCAUCCAUGGAGUCAUGUUAAGAACCUCCACUCCAACUAACCCAAAGCUCACAGCCCUGGAGGAGAAGAAGCCUGUUUGGGGAAUUCUACCUUGGCUCCAUGUCUCUGAAGAGGCUUGUCCCAGGGAAUAUAAUGGGAUCCUCGCUCACACACAACCCAACAGCCGACCCACAAUGGCACACCUCCCAGUUAUUGCCUUAGUCCGGCAAACCCCUGGCUAAGCAUCCACAGCCGAGCUGAGGGCAGUGAGAAAAGUUCAAGUCGCCAGCUGAAGUGGUCUUUAACACCCCCCCCCCGGCCUUCUCAGCCUCACUGUUUAUCCAUAUGAAGCGCUCUCCUUCCCGGCCCACUUCCACCCCCACCUUUCUGAGAUCGGCUAUAAAAAUAAACUAUUUUUCCUUGUUAA
rnacentral:lncRNA from 1 species